GACGAACGCUGGCGGCGUGCUUAACACAUGCAAGUCGAACGGAAAGGCCCUGCUUUUGUGGGGUGCUCGAGUGGCGAACGGGUGAGUAACACGUGAGUAACCUGCCCUUGACUUUGGGAUAACUUCAGGAAACUGGGGCUAAUACCGGAUAGGAGCUCCUGCUGCAUGGUGGGGGUUGGAAAGUUUCGGCGGUUGGGGAUGGACUCGCGGCUUAUCAGCUUGUUGGUGGGGUAGUGGCUUACCAAGGCUUUGACGGGUAGCCGGCCUGAGAGGGUGACCGGCCACAUUGGGACUGAGAUACGGCCCAGACUCCUACGGGAGGCAGCAGUGGGGAAUAUUGCACCAUGGGCGGAGGCCUGAUGCAGCAACGCCGCGUGCGGGAUGACGGCCUUCGGGUUGUACCCCGCUUUCGCCUGUGACGAAGCGUGAGUGACGGUAAUGGGUAAAGAAGCACCGGCUCACUACGUG
rnacentral:rRNA from 1 species